rnacentral:rRNA from 1 species
GACGAACGCUGGCGGCGCGCUUAACACAUGCAAGUCGAACGGAAAGGCCUGCUUUCCCUUGUGGAUUGCGGGUACUCGAGUGGCGAACGGGUGAGUAACACGUGAGUGAUCUGCCCCCAACUUGGGUAUAAGCCUGGGAAACUGGGUCUAAUUCCCGAUAGGACUGCAGGGUGGUGCCUGUGGUGGAAAACGAUUUUCUAGUGGUUGGGGAUGAGCUCGCGGCCUAUCAGCUUGUUGGUGGGGUAAUGGCCUACCAAGGCGGCGACGGGUAGCCGGCCUGAGAGGGUGGACGGCCACAUUGGGACUGAGAUACGGCCCAGACUCGUACGGGAGGCAGCAGUGGGGAAUAUUGCACAAUGGGCGGAAGCCUGAUGCAGCGACGCCGCGUGGGGGAUGACGGCCUUCGGGUUGUAAACUCCUUUCGACCGCGAGGAAGCCACCUGGUUGGAAGGGUGGUGACGGUAGUGGUAGAAGAAGCACCGGCUAACUACGUG